ensembl:lncRNA LINC00710 long intergenic non-protein coding RNA 710
AGUCAAUGACUCAGGGUAGCCACCGAACAUGAUGCUCGGGCAGUGGGUGCCACCUGGACUCCACUCUCCCCUCUCUCUGGGAUCAUAGAGUCCAAGGUGUUCUGUGGCCUCUCGGCCAAUCCCAGCAGCUCAGCGUGCAGAAGACCGAGGAGCCAUUGGUCAGUGUAGGAGGUGCCUGGAGUUUUGGAGAUGGGAUCCACAGGUCUCUUCACACCGAACGCCUCUUCCCCUCUUGUGCCAGCUUGAUGCUGACUUCAAUAUGUUUGGGCUGCUGGGCCCAUGGGAGGAGAAAGGCUGGGGGAAUUCAACACAACACGAAAUAAUCAACAAAUUCGGGGAAUGUUAAUCUGACCAUCACCAGUUACAAAUGAUGUUUCAUGCUACCUUCUAUUCCUGCCUUCAUAAAUCAAGCUCUAAAUCUCCAGGAAAAAAUGUGCUCAGGAUGGCCAGAGAAAUGUCCUUCCAACUGUGCAUGGAAAGGUAUGAUUUUGUGCAGCAGGUGAAGGACUGGUUAGAGUAAGUGUGUGCUGAGCUUUUGUGUUUGAAAGCGAGCCUGUGCACUUCUAACGAUUGGAAGGUUUCCUUGCCUUCUCCGAUCUUACACACAGCAAGGACAGCAAAGCCUUCCAGACCUGCCUGUGACAUGCACUGCACAUUCUAAAGAUGCCUAUGCAAUGGAAAACACCACUGUCUGCUCCAGCACAGCUGCCAUUCUUCCAUCUUAUCGACCUUAAUGCAACAACUCCUCACAGGCAGAGAUUUUAAAAUGUGUUCUUGGCAGAAGAGAGACUCAAAGAUGGGACAAAUGUGUCAUUUAAAUGCCUGUUAAAAUGGAAACAGACAUAGUAUAGUCAGAGGAUUGUGGCAGCUAAG